rnacentral:rRNA from 1 species
UACGAAGGGGGCUAGCGUUGCUCGGAAUCACUGGGCGUAAAGCGCACGUAGGCGGCUUUCUAAGUCAGGGGUGAAAUCCUGGAGCUCAACUCCAGAACUGCCUUUGAUACUGAGGAGCUUGAGUCCGGGAGAGGUGAGUGGAACUGCGAGUGUAGAGGUGAAAUUCGUAGAUAUUCGCAAGAACACCAGUGGCGAAGGCGGCUCACUGGCCCGGUACUGACGCUGAGGUGCGAAAGCGUGGGGAGCAAACAGGG